CAGGUGUGGAAGUGUUUCACAGGACAUAUGACUGUUGACAGGUGUGGAAGUGUUACACAGAACAUGUGGCUGUUGACAGGUGUGGAAGUGUUUCACAGAACAUGUGGCUGUUGACAGGUGUGGAUGUGUUACACAGGACAUGUGGCUGUUGACAGGUGUGGAAGUGUUACACAGAACAUGGCUGUUGACAGGUGUGGAAGUGUUACACAGAACAUGGCUGUUGACAGGUACGGAAUUGUUACACAGAACAUAUGGCUGUUGACACGUGUGGAAGAGUUACACAGAACAUGUGGCUGUUGACAGGCAUUGAAGUGUUACACAGAACAUGUGGCUGUUGACAGGUGUGGAAGUGUUACACAGAACAUGUGGCUGUUGACAGGUGUGGAAGUGUUACACAGAACAUGUGGCUGUUGACAGGUGUGGAAGUGUUACACAGAACAUAUGGCUGUUGACAGGUGUGGAAGUGUUACACAGAACAUGGCUGUUGACAGGUGUGGAUGUGUUACACAGAACAUGGCUGUUGACAGGCAUUGAAGUGUUACACAGAACAUGUGGCUGUUGACAGGUGUGGAUGUGUUACACAGAACAUGGCUGUUGACAGGCAUUGAAGUGUUACACAGAACAUGUGGCUGUUGACAGGUGUGGAAGUGUUAUACAGAACAUAUGGCUGUUGACAGAUGUGGAAGUGUUACACAGGACAUAUGGCUGUUGACAGGUGUGGAAGUGUUUAACAGGACAUGCGGCUGUUGACAGGUGUGGAAGUGUUACACAGGACAUGCGGCUGUUGACAGGUGUGGAAGUGUUACACAGAACAUGGCUGUUAACAGACAUUGAAGUGUUACACAGAACAUGUGGCUGUUGACAGGUGUGGAAGUGUUACACAGAACAUGUGGCUGUUGACAGGCAUUGAAGUGUUUCACAGGACAUAUGGCUGUUGACAGGUGUGGAAGUGUUACACAGAACAUGUGGCUGUUGACAGGUGUGGAAGUGUU